AUUGAACGCUGGCGGCAUGCUUUACACAUGCAAGUCGAGCGGUAACAGGCCUUCGGGUGCUGACGAGUGGCGAACGGGUGAGUAAUGCAUCGGAACGUACCCAGAGGUGGGGGAUAACGCAGCGAAAGCUGUGCUAAUACCUCAUGUGAUCUGAGGAUGAAAGCGGGGGACCGAGCAGCAAUGUUUGGUCUCGCGCCUUUGGAGCGGCCGAUGUCGGAUUAGCCAGUUGGUGGGGUAAAGACCUACCAAGGCGACGAUCCGUAGCGGAUCUGAGAGGACGACCAGCCGCACUGGGACUCAGGCACGGAACAGACUCCUGCGGAAGGCAACGAUGAGAGAUUUUGGACACAGGGCGAAAACCUUAUCCAGCAAUGCCGCGUGCGUCAGGAAAGCCUUGAGGUUGUAAACCGCUUUUGGCAGGAACAAAACGGUGUCGGCUAAUACCAGGCGCUAAUGACGGUACCGGAAAAAUAAGCACCGGCUAACUACGUG
rnacentral:rRNA from 1 species